rnacentral:lncRNA from 1 species
GAGGGACGGAUGAAAGGAAAUCAAGGAAGAUUUUCAGAGGGCAGGUGGGGGGAGGCUGGGGACCUUCCUGUGGGGGCACAAAUCUUGUCCUGUCACUGGAGGAUGCACACAGCUCAUGGAGACCACGUCAACCACCGGCCUAAGGAAAGCAGCGGGAAAGCUAAAGUGUGACGCGGCUUAAGCAGCUUGUCUGAGUUUGCACAGCUGGCAAAUGGCUGAGCCAUGACUCACACCCAGGUCCAUCCACCGCCAAAGCUCCAGAUCUCUGGCAUCCUUCUAAGGUCAGAAAGGGAAAGAAAUCCCUAAUAAGGAGCCUGUGUGACGGCGUGCCCCCCUCCACUUUCCCACCCCUGCCAAGGACCCGUUUGAAGGCUGUUCACGCCAGUCACUGCAAUCACCAUUGAGCACAGAGAUGACAGUUCCAGCAAGCACUGACCUUCCAGCCCACUCUGCGGAGGAGAAGACUGAGGGGCAGAGAGGCUGUUGAUUUGCUGCAGUUGACUCUGACCCUAAUUUCCCGGCGCUGACUCAAACUCAUCAGGAACACUGCUUUCACUGAGUGUAUGAAGUGGUUUCUCCAUCCGUGUGGCUUUACCUGAACUCACACCGGUCCCACGGCCCAGGUGUGGAGCCGAGCACUCCCCUCUGCCUCCUCCCUGGACUGCAGGACCUGUGUCUCGCUUUAUGAAAGAGAUGCCAUUUGGGGAAGACUCGCAUUGUCGGGAGCGCUGUGGACGCUCCAGAAGGAGAUCAACACGAUGAUGACGAUGCCGGGUGGAGGGAAUGUGCACUUCUCGGGAGCCAGAAAAGAAUAAUCUGAAUGUCUCCAGCAUCAAGAAAAGACCAGUAUUGAAGGUGAUGGAUGCCUUAAUUACGCUGAUUGGAUCUUUACAAAUUAUAUUAAUGUAUUAAAUUAUUACAUGUAUGCAGAAAGUCUGUACACCUAUUAUGCACCAAUAAAAAAGAAAUUUUUUAAAGUGAGCAAA